GCCCGGCAGGACGAAGGCGGGGGUGCCUCGGAGCGGGGUCGCGUUAUGGCUGCGCAGCCUCUGCCGUCUGCCCGCUCCCCGCGCCACGCCACGCCCCCUGCGCCGCGCCGCGCCGGCGGGUGCCGUGCGGGGCGCCCGGGAGGCUGCUCCGAGGCCCGUGGGCGGCUCGCUCCGGGGAGCGGGGGGAGGCGGCGGGAGGAGCCGCUCCGAUCCGUUUUUCUUUCGCAGGUGGAUUUUCGCGAAGGCGCCUGCGCUGUACGGAGCCCCGCAGAGCGGCGGUGCUGGCGGGGAGGCAGGAGCGGGAUGUUCCCGGGGGCGAGUUCGCCUGCUGCGGGCUUGUGGCUGCCUUCACUCUGAGCAAGGCUGAAGUUAUGUUAACGAUACCUUAUGAAUAUAUCAAACAACACAAGCCUCGAUACAGAUCCCUGUGAAACUUGACUAGUGACCCCUUUCUUCUCCCCAAAAAACUCCACAAGAUCUGUGAGACAUUAUUUUUUCCACAAAAGCUAAAGGGGAAGAAGCCAUGAAGUCUUGAAGACAGUGAUCUGACUUUGCACCGUGAUGGAAGGAACUAAGAAGUCACUACCAGUCACUAACACCAGAUGCACCUUCCUGAGCACUGAACUGUCAAUGGUUUCUCGGAGAAGAGGAUAAGCAGACAGCUUAAGUUCCUGUUUUGGUUUCCUGGAGAGCUCGUCUACCUACUUUUCUCAUGAACUCUGGUGCACCAUUUGCCUGCACCUCAAAACACCAUGGAAGGACCCACUGCAGGUUUCCCAGCCACAAGCUGAACAACUCCUGCCAGUGAAAAGCAAGAAGUUUCCAGGAAGCCACCUAGUUUUCAAACCAACAGAGUUGUGAUGCGGUAGUGCCAAGGCCCUCGUGGGGACACAGACACAUUCAUUUCCUCAUCCAACAACUCUGCCUCUGCUCUUCCUCAUUUUGGGACUUGGGAAAAAUUUGGUUCCAUCAGUUUGGUGAGAGUCUGGAUGUAAAUGAGGCUGCAAAGACCUGCUGCAAUACAGCAUGGAGCCAUCCCCUCAUGCUGCUGCUGCAAAGUGUCUGACAAAAACACCAUGAACUUUGGGAGCCAUCUUCCAGGCUCUAGCUCUCCCUACACUUUUCUGGGAUGUGCUGCAAUCACCACAGCUGUCUCUAAAUUGUUCCUGCCCAGCAAGGAAUGAAAGCUGAUCAGUCACCUUCAUCUCUGCUUGGAGAAAGGGACUGGUGCUGGCACUAGGGGACUGAGUGGAGUAGCCCGGGGGAUUACAGUAGCACUCCAGCCUCUCCCAUCAUUUGACAGGACUCCCAUUUGAAACCUUCCUGGAAGCUACUGCUUCCAGGAACUGGGACUGGUGUCCAAGCCUCAGUGACUGCACAGAGAAAUGACGUGGACACCAUGAAGACAGAUAGAGGAUGCUUGCCUCUAGAAUAAGGUGAUUGUUGUCCAUAAGCAGAGUCGUUUUUGCCAGUCAGUUCUUGAAAGCAUAUUUUCAUGAGGCAGUCCUGGAGAGCAGAGGCCCUCCUCUGGGGAGUGUGUUCUGCAUACCAGCUGUUUUAAUACAUCCUACUUGUACUGAACACAUAUAGGAAAUGCUGCUCUAACGCUUUGGAUGUCAUAGAAAGCGUCACCUCAGUAACACCAGUGCUGCCCUGGCUGGCAAUAGGAAUACUAGGCUCUUUAAGAAAGUUUAAUGUCUGCUUCUGUUAAAACAAAAUCUCCAAGAUAUGGAUAAGGAAGAUUACAAAAAUUAGCAGCUAAUACUAACAUAGACAGUUGAUGCUGAUGUAGCUGCAACAUAUGACAAUUUUUAGUCAUUCUUCAAAGGAUGCUAAUCUUUAUCCUGGCAGGCUGAUAUACAAAACCACAAUCACAGGCUACACAAAUGACUCAUCCCAGAGGGCACCACUUCUUCAGUGUUGAUGUAAUAUUCUACCUAAAACAUGUAAAUGCAGAACAUCGCUUAAGAGUCAGCAAAGGCUGAGAGUGGUAUCCUUGGCAGUCUGCUCCAUGGCUCUGGCUACAGCCUUCCUCCCCAACCCUGCAUACACUGUAACAAGUCUUAUAUUCUGUUCAUAGGACUGCAGAGAAACACAGUGCAACAGAGUCACAGGUGGAGGCUGUCAUCUCAAUUAAAUGGCCAAAAUCAAAACAUGCAUGUUCAGAGAGGGAUGAACUUUAAAAGGGGAUGCUUGGCAAGUUCCCUUUCUUAUUUUGACUCAGACCUAAAGUCAAAGCAAACUGCACCUCCUGCUUUUAAUCUUAAUAUUCAAGGACUUUACAAUGAAAGAGACAGCUUUGUAUGCUUUCUUUCUGCUUUUGGCUGCUGCUUUUGAUUUCUAAAAUGGAAGGAAGGAUGGUCUUGUGAUUAUAGUUGCAGGCUAGGAGUCAGCAGAUCAAUGCUCAGCUUUUCAAAAUCUUCCUCUGUAGCUUUGGUCUCUGUUCACCCUGCGAAAGAGUGGGUGACAGUCCUUCCUUAGCUCAUGGGACUGUAAGAACUUCCAAGAUGCAGGAAAUGCUUUCAAGGUCUCUGUCCACAAUGUCAAGUCUUUAAUGUGGCAAGGCCCUUGAUUUCACAAGCAAACUUUUCACAGAUAAACCACUUUGGUCUAAAAGGGAAGGCAUAUAAAACAGAAAUGAAAGGCAGAAAUGUGUAUGUUAGUGAUUUAAAGGAAAGGGGAAGGCUGUAGUUCUUUGACUGUGGAACAGAUUUUCCAGGAUAGUUUGUCUGUGAAAAUAUUAUCCGUGUGAUUCUACCAUCAAAAUUAGUGUCACAGGUUAUGAAUACAGGGCAAGUUCUCAUUAAUGCUGGGGAAAUGUAGUUUAUAUACCAGACCUACCUAGAAGCCCUUUGGAGACAAAAUGGUGCAAUGUCAUUGCUUGGGAUUAAGCUGAUGAGUCAACACAAACCCUUCCAUGUGUUUGGAGACAUGCGUCCCAUGGAAACAUGGUAUUGUGUCCUCUUCCCUGGACAAUAUCUGUCCUUGAUGCCUACGAGAAGGCCAAAUUGAGGUUAGUCAGCUAUCUUCACUGUAUGCCCUUGCUACUGUUUCCUGGAAGCUGUUGGCCUCCGGGGUUUGGGUGAUAGACUUGUAAUGAAACACACCCCAGCAUGCAGGAGCCUCUCCUGUGAGUCCCUGCCUGGUCUCCUGUUAUGGGCACAGUGAGCCUGUACUGUUAUCAAACAGCAGCUUCAGGCGAAAAGGGAGUCUGGUGCAUAAACCUGAAGUAUAGCCUAUAUGAAAUGAGUCAGUGCAGACUGUCCUACACAGAGCAAACACUUCAAAUUAAGGACUUAGAAUUAAUUCUCUUUCUUCUUCCUGUCUUUCUAUAACAUUUCACUAUUGUUGGCCAAACUGUUCUUUAUAUAUAUAGAUCUUUGAAUUGUUUUUUCAAUAGGCCAGCAAAAGCUCAGGAGCAGCUCUGUGGUAAAAAAUGCUAGACUGAAAGUGUGCUAAUUGGAUCAGAAUGAAGGGACAGAGUGCACCCUCAGUAAGUUUGCUGAUGAUACAAAACUGGGAGGAGUGGCUGAUACCCCAGAGGGCUGUGCUGCCACUCAGAGGGACCUUGACAGACUGGAGAGAUGGGCGGAGAGGAACCUCAUGAAGUUCAACAAAGGCAAGUGCAGGGUCCUGCACCUAGGGAGGAAUAACCCCAUGCACCAGUACAGGCUGGGGGCUGACCUGCUGGAAAGCAGCCCUGUGGAGAAGGACCUGGGGGUCCUGGCGGACAAAAAGUUGACCAUGAGCCAGCAACAUGCCCUUGUGGCCAAGAAGGCCAAUGGUAUCCUGGGGUGCAUUAGGAAGAGCAUUGCCAGCAGGACGAGGGAGGUGAUCCUCCCCCACUACGCAGCCCUGGUGAGGCCACAUCUGGAGUACUGUGUCCAGUUCUGCGCUUCCCAGUACAAGAGAGACAUGGAGCUACUGAAGCAAGUCCAGCAAAGGGCUACAAAGAUGAUUAACGGACUGGAGCAUCUCUCCUAUGAGGAAAGGCUGAGUAAGCUGGGCCUGUUCAGCCUGGAGAAGAGAAGACUGAGGGGGAAUCUUAUCAAUGUGUGUUGGAGAACAAGGUGUGGAGGGCUAGAACUGCCAAAAGGGAACUGAUGACAUUCCUUUCUGGCUCCAGGGAACCCGAAAGACUGCCAAUUUCUUUGUAGGCAAAUAUGCAAAAAGGGCUGAAUCUAGGCACCCUCAUUUGAAGUUAUAAACAGGAUUUAAAUGCAAUAUAAAGACUUGCUGUAGCUCUCCUGUGUGCCCUUGUGCUGGGAGAUCCUUGGUGGUGUGCAAAGCCCCCAGGGGAUCCUGCAGCUGGGACAGUCAUUUACUUGCAUGGAAGCCACUGCGGGAGAUGGACUCAUAUGGAUCAAGCAGGCUGUCAAGUAGGCCUCUAAUUAAGACAUUGCCCUUCCCUGCACCAUUACAUAUUGUAACACUGACUGUGCCAGACUGCAGACUGAGAUGUUUGUGAUUUCUUUCUAUGACCACUAAAUAGAAUGGCAUAAAGAGGACAAAGUAGCCACUAAGUAUGAGGAGCUCUGUGCAAGGGAGACAGAUCAAACAGCACCCAGUGGAGAUGCCUCAUUAAACUGAUACAAGCCUAACAAACAGAAGAGCUGCCAAUUAUCAAAAGAAGUUAAGCAAUGAAAAGUGGCAGAAAGCCAAGCAGCAAGCAAGGUUGAGUCUUCUUAAUGCAAAGGGAAGCUACCCAGAAAAUCCACACAGUUUAUAAUACAAAAGGGAGGAAGAAACAGAUAGUUUUUGAGAUGAUGAUUUUCAUUUUAUUAAUAAUCUGUUCACCUAUUUUUUUUACUGAAGUUAUUUAUUUAAAUCUGGUGGAUGAAGGAUGGUCACGGCAGUCACGCUGUAUUAGCAAUACACUUUGGAAGCCAAGUGAUCCUCUUUUGGAAUUAAAAAAAGGGGUUCUAAAAGCAUUCAAAAAAUGACACAGUAGGAACUCCUUUUCACAAGCCUGCCAUAUUCCACGAUUAUUGUCUGAGGAGAAUGUGCAAAUAGUUUUGGGAAGGGGAAAGAGUCCACAGAGGACAAACAUUAUAUAUGCACUUUCAUUUCUAGCUCCUGGGACGGAGCUGGUCUCCAUGGUUACAGACAGAUGUGAAAGCUCCCUUCGGUGCACAUUAUCAGCUGCUGUUACCAAAUGAGGCCAGCAGACAAGCGGUGAAAGCUUGAAGACAGGGACAGUGCUUCCCCAGCCGACACAAGAGGAAGCCCGUGGUAGUUCAGAGGUCUCUAAAAACCUAGGCAUAAAUGCUGUGGCUGUCUCCAGACUGAGACAGGGCUAGCACAAACAUUGCACACUUGGAGUUGCUCUCUCUCAGAGAGGGAACUGAAAUGGAGAUGUCCAAACAUCACAGGGCCACCUGCCAGUGCAAACUAGCUCCUUUCUUCCACUACAGUCAGCUUGAUUCAGCGUUUGCAUAACAAAAGGGUCCAGUCAGCAUAAUGUGCGGGAACUGAGAUGGUCCAAGGCCAAGGACUCUCUAGCACAAGUUACUGCUGUCAUCCCAGCUUUGGGAAGACAAAGAUGAAAUCAAACCUACCAUGACUGGAGAGAAUUUGGUCCUUACAUAACACUGCAUUUUGGAAGGAAAUAUUCCAAGUGAGGUAGUCCUGAUGCUCCUGACUGCAUUAUUCGUGCAGUAAAUCAGGAAGCCUGGCACACUGCUGGUGAUGACUGCACUCUAAGUGAAAUAUAUCAUUAACAAUUUUCCCAGUCUUGUUAUUGACAUGGUUAACCAUUGAUAGGAUUGGCCUUUUUACAAAGUCCUCACAGAGACCAUAAAGUGUAUUUAAUCACAAGCGGCAACAUGUUUCCCCUCAAUAAACCAGGCUCUGUUCUUAAAGGAUGCAAGUCAUCAGUUGCAGACUACUAAAAUGUCUCUCCAUUUGCAAACAUGAACUAGAAAUACUUAACUCUCACUUUAAGCAGAACUUCAAGAACCUUUGGGCAACUCUUCUGUACCCCUACAUAAACUCCCUGUGAGGAAUGAGGGGCUUUGGUAUUAUUUUUAUGAACUAUGUGUGUGCCUCUGUUUCUCCAUCUUCUUGUGUGUGGCUGGCAGGGAGGGUAAGUGGAAAAAUAGUUAAUCUCUAGACUUGACUACUGAAAGUGAAAGGUGAGCAAACAGUACACAUGCAGGCUGGUAUGAAAUGAAUGAGCCGAAUGGGCUGCUUUCCUGAGGAAAACAUUGUUGGUGAAGACAACAAUGUCCAGUAACUAAAGAGUAAUUUCACUAAUUAAAAUUUAAAAAGCACGUAGCAUUAAAGGUGAAGAUGCACAUGAGGAGGCCCAGAAAGGGACAGAGAAAGAGGCAGGAUGGAUCCUGGGAAAAGCAAAGCAUGUUGUGUGGCUACUGCUGCGUCUUUAGCCAUGAUCUGAAUUUUGAUUUGGCUCCAACAUAAGGACACUGCCAAUUUUGUCCAGUGAACUGACAAAUGCUAGCUUGUUUUGAGGAGGGAGCAUGCAUCACCACAACUACUUCUGAUAGCACUACUUGCCUGGAAGGUAAGCACCCUCUAGGAAACAAAGACUCCUUGCCACAUCCAUGGAAAUUAGUAAGAGCUGUAGCUCAGAGGCCUUGUCUUGAAGAAUCUGUGAGAUCUACACUAUAAAGAGGCUACACUGUCUCUUGCUUUAAGGUAUAUCUGGAGAGACUGUAUAAAAGCUGGGGACUUGAGAAGCAGCUGUGUAAAUCUGUGACAUGCCUUCAAAUUCCAUCACCAUUGAAUCGCAUUUCCCUAGUCUUCGAAAAAGAAUUUUUUCUCUACUUUGUGGCAAUGUGAAAGGAUCAUUAAUUAACCAGCCAAGGGAUGGGAAAAGUGAAACUUUAGGUGAAGUUAGAUGUUUUAUGACUUUGGCAUGAGGUGAUUGCAGGGCCAUCAAAAGCAGACAGCAUCUUCUCCCUCCAGCUCCGCUUUCCUUCCUUCCUUUUCCUCUGACCCUAUGCUGCUGAUUGAGUUCAGUUACCUAAACUAGCAGCAAGUCAAUGUGGUGAAUAAGGCACCAAGCUGCACUGGUUGCUGAAGGGUCCCAAGAGUAGCCGUGCGCAGAAGGGAGAGCUCGGGACUGGGCAGUGGGUAGCAGGGGCAGAGGAGGUAUGGAGAGAGGAAGGAAGACCUUGCCUUUCGGUGGCAGGGAGGUGUUGUAACAGCUUAGUCAUACUGGGUAACUUCACUCUGGCUGCUGAGAAAUGUAUGAAAUGCAUGGGUAAAUGUACAAAAUAGAUAAUCUGGGUCACAGGGAAAUCACUUCUUCCUCUAGUUGGCUUCAGUUACAUGACUCCAAAGCAGCAAAUCAACUGUUGUGAGAGAAGCUUGAGAGAAGCUUGACUUUUAAGCUGUUGGUUUCCAUUUUAAGCCUAAGGUGGGAAACCACCAUAAAAUGACGAAUAAUUAAGAAACUGAAAUCUAUCCCUUUGAGAGAGCUUGUGCUAUAUGUGAACACUCUGCCACUAAGGGGACAUGUCAUGCACUUUUCCAGGACCUGGCUGUGCUCUGAUACACAGGCAGCAGCAGCCAAAUCCUGCCCAUUCUAUCAGUGCACUUUCUGCUUUACAAGGUAUGCAUGACAGCGUGGUAACUCUGAGGCCUGGUGAAAAAUGCCAAGCAAGAUUUUGUGUGCUUUAAAUGCAAUGUAAAUUGACACUGUAUUUACAACUUGCUCAGAAAAGAAAAAAAAGGUGAGGUUUCACAGGCAGUAAAAUGGGCAGAUAUUGAUUAAAAAUGUACACUAAACCCACAGAGAAAGCAGAUGCCAUUUUCAUACAUCAUGUCUCCUUGGCCGUAAUACAGACCACAUAUUUGUCAUUCAGAACAGAAAGGAAUGAAGAAGGUUGGAGGUGAAAAAAAAGCCCCAAAGAUCCAUUUUACAUCUAGAAGAUGCAGGCAAUAAAAUGAUGACUCACCGUUAACAAGUUCAUAUGCUAUUUUGUGACUAAUGCAUUAAAUUAUAUAAUUCACUAAUGUCCUACUCUUUAGGAUUUUACUAGAGGCUAUUUGAUGAAUUAUAGUUAGAGAUAGCAAAAUGAAGUGAAAAAGCAGG